UAAUUCCAUAUGGAUCUGGUCAACUACUGGAUGAUUUCAUUCGUAUUUUUCAGAGACAUAUUACUAAAAACUACAAUUCUUACGAGGAGUAUAUGCAGAAAUCAGCUAUGAAGUAGGAUACUUUAGAUCUUGAAAAACCUAUUCCCUAUAGCCCAGAAAUAAAUUUAAUUUGUCAUUUCCACAUAGAUCUUCGUUUUGAUAUUUCAAUAGCUACAAAAAUAAAAUCGAAGUCUUGAAGACGAAUGAAAAUUACCUCUGUUUUUUGUGCUGAUUAUCACCCUCAGAUUUGUUUGGAAUAGAUAGAAACUCGGUACAUAGGAGAGGUUAUGCUGUGAAGAUGAAACUGCAGAUUUU
rnacentral:lncRNA from 1 species